rnacentral:rRNA from 1 species
CAAUAGCGUAUAUUAAAGUUGUUGCAGUUAGAACGCUCGUAGUCGGAUUUCGGGGCGGGCCGACCGGUCUGCCGAUGGGUAUGCACUGGUCGGCGCGUCCUUCCUUCCGGAGACCGUCCCUACUCUUAACUGAGCGGGGGCGGGAGACGGGACUUUUACUUUGAAAAAAUCAGAGUGUUUCAAGCAGGCAGCUCGCUCUUGCAUGGAUUAGCAUGGUAUAAUGAAAUAGGACUUUGGUGCUAUUUUGUUGGUUUCGAACACCGAAGUAAUGAUGAGAAGGGACAGUCAGGGGCACUCGUAUUCCGCCGAGAGAGGUGAAAUUCUCAGACCAGCGGAAGACGAACCACUGCGAAAGCAUUUGCCAGGGAUGUUUUCACUGA